rnacentral:rRNA from 1 species
GAUGAACGCUGGCGGCGUGCUUAACACAUGCAAGUCGAACGAUGAAGCCCAGCUUGCUGGGUGGAUUAGUGGCGAACGGGUGAGUAACACGUGAGUAACCUGCCCUUAACUCUGGGAUAAGCCUGGGAAACUGGGUCUAAUACCGGAUAGGAGCGUCCACCGCAUGGUGGGUGUUGGAAAGAUUUAUCGGUUUUGGAUGGACUCGCGGCCUAUCAGCUUGUUGGUGAGGUAAUGGCUCACCAAGGCGACGACGGGUAGCCGGCCUGAGAGGGUGACCGGCCACACUGGGACUGAGACUCGGCCCAGACUCCUACGGGAGGCAGCAGUGGGGAAUAUUGCACAAUGGGCGCAAGCCUGAUGCAGCGACGCCGCGUGAGGGAUGACGGCCUUCGGGUUGUAAACCUCUUUCAGUAGGGAAGAAGCGAAAGUGACGGUACCUGCAGAAGAAGCACCGGCUAACUACGUG